ACUAUACUCGACUGUAUUCGACUGUGUUUACGGCGUGAAACAGGGGAUUACACUGUUUUUAAACGGAAAGUGUAUCAAUUAACAUAAUAGACUACU
rnacentral:pre_miRNA from 1 species